ensembl:lncRNA MIR99AHG mir-99a-let-7c cluster host gene
CUGUGUAUCUGUAUGCCUGUGUGCGCGCGCGUGCUCGCUCGGGCAUCCGUGUCUAGCCGAGGGGAGGGGGUGGCGUGUGAGUGCGUGGAGGGUAAAAGCCAGUCAGUCAGUGAGAAGCAAAGAUCAACCACCUCAGAAGAGCCAGAUUCCACUUCUGUGGCCAGGACUUUUACAUUAUGGCUGGUCCGAUUGUUUUACCCUGCGUUCUAUGCUACUAAACCUUGGAUCAUUCCUAAAGUACAAAUUCUGUUCUCGAACCACAAACAAGGCUAAAAGAUCGGAGGAAAUUCAGUGAAUAUACAGGAUUGGGGUUGUGUAUUUUUAAAAGUGUCUGAUGAUUUGUGAGCCUCAAGUGACUACUCUGUGGAAUCAUCUGUCCUUGCCUUUGAAUUAGCUUUCCCUAGGCCAUGAGUCAACAUUAGUAGUUUAUACAUCCAAAUUGAUGACAAGAGCACCUCAAAGGCAGCAGCCUCAAGGAGCAGCCAUGGCCCCAGACUUGUCGCACGGAUGCAGAAAACUUAAUGGAGGAGGCUGAGGUCAGAAUGGGAAGAGUUUUUAAAAAAUAAAAAGGGGAGCUAAUAUGUGAGGAACUGAUUGCUGUGCAUUAUUUUCCACUGAACAGACCUUCUUUUAACUUCUAAUCUCAAGCACAUAGCAGCUGUUGUUUUCAUAUUAAAGAUCAGUAAGUGUUUGUUGAAUGAAUGUAUAAAUUCUUCCCCAAUCUCUGUUCCAUGUAAUAAGAACUAAGUUAGCAUUCAAUUAUAAAGAGGACUUAGAAAGUCUGCAGACAUUUUUGAUCAAAAAUCCUUUUAACUGUCUUCUUAUGGUUCCCGGUAACACCUAAGCCCAAAAAACUCAGGUCAUUUCUUGCCUGUACUGUUGCAAUAGCCUCAUAAUAACUAGUCUUCUCCUUUAUCAACCACAGUCGUCUCCGCUACACAAAGAAGAGAGGGUGCUAAUCUAAAGUGUAAAUUAUUUUAAAUCAGCACCCUUCUUGUAAUUUCCCAGUGGUUUUUCCUGUCAUAAGAAUAACAUGCAAAAUUCCUUGCUUGCAAAGCCAGGUAUGACCUUGCCCCGUCUACCUUACUGGCAUCGUCUCUCAUGACUCUUCCCCUUUUUCACUCUCCAUCUUGCCUUUUCCCAACCAUGCCUGCUAGUGAGCCUUAGCCCUUGUGUUUUCUCUGCCAGGGAUGCAUGACUGGCUUCUUUACUUUAUUCUGAUCUCUCUGCUCAAAUGUCAUCUUUUUAGAGAUAGCUUUCCUAAACAUCUUUAAAAGUACCCCAUGAACUGUGAAACACCUUUCCUGCUUUUUCUUCAUAGUACUUAUCACUUCCUGAUAUUAUGUUAGACAACAAGCAAAUAAGUAUAUGCUGUUCCCACUAAAAUAUAAGCUCCAUUUGAACAGGAGCCUUGAUUAUUCCUGAGUAUACCCCUAGUGCCCAGAACCUAGUAGGGCUUUAAUAAAUAUUAGAUUCAUUUGUUGAAUGAAAAAAUGAAUGAAUAAUUGAAUAAAGAUAUCCAGGUAGAGUGUCCGGGCAGCCCAACCUAUGUGAAGCCAGUACAAGAAUGUUUCUGUGACAUAGUGAGCGCAAUUAUUCCUCUAAAUGAUGAACUUGCAUGAGUACACAAGGAUAAAAUUAAGCACGUAGUUUAGAUUUCUGCAAGUCUCUUCCUCAGAUUGAGGAAAAACAAAGAAAUUGAGCUUAUUCUCACCUCAUUCUUACAUGAACUAAAUCCAGAAUAAAGCAUCAUUUAAAUACCAAGCACAUCCCUACCUCAGCCACUCAUGGAAUACUUUAUCUGUAAAGGGACAGAUAGAUAGUAAAUAUUUUUGGCUUUGGGGACCGUACAGUCUGUGUCGCCACUACUCAGCACUUCUGUUGAGGUGUGGAAUCAGCCCUAGACAACACAUAAACAAAUGGGUGUGGCUGUGUUCCAAUAAAAUGUUAUUUAUAAAACUAGGAAAUCAGCAGAUUUAGUCCACAGGCUGUAGUUUGCUGACCCUUGAAUUAGAGAGUCUUCCCCAAAUCCUCUUCCCAAGUUAUUGAAAGAAUGCCCAUAGGACCAUAGCUCCCUCACCUGGUUCUUUCAAGAAAUGAGACAAAUUCAGGGAUGGUUGGAGGGUGGAACGCCUACCUGUGACAUGACUAUUGAGCCUGAUUUCUUUCCUUUUAUCUCUUUAAAGUGAGUCAGGUCUUAACUUUAAACUGUCUCUAAAGUGGCAAUAACUGGGCCAUGUCAAAUACUCCCAAUGACAAAAUUUCUUCUUGGAGAAUGAAUGAGGGUUGCAUACAGUGGUGUGUUGGUAAAUGUUUAGCAACUGGCUCUCUUACUGAUUUCUGUAGUGUAAAUUCUCCCAUCCUGGCCAUCUGAAACUACCAAUAUGAUGUCACUUGAUGUAGAGUUGGGAAAAGACAGUCUCUUGAAUAAGUAUGAGCUGGUUCCAGCCCACUGCUGAACACAUAUUUAAAAGCUACAAUAGCUCUGCUCACUGCCAUUGCAGAGUCUGGAGGAAAGAGUAGCAGGCUUGAUAGGAGCAAUUGGCUGAAUAAUCUUUUGCAAUGCCAAUAAAUAAUGAAAAAGUAUAUAAAUAUAACGCUGUAUAGAAAGCUCUCAAGUUCAGUGUUUGGUUAAAAUACAUACUCAGUAAAUGGUAGCUAUUAUUGUCUUAGUUUAAGUUAUUGCAAGCAUUAAAAUUAAAUGUUUAGCUACAGACUCAAUCCAGUUUUAAUGUCAUUGUGUUAAUAAGGCCUCUUAACAUUGAAGCAACAAAGAUAAAGGAAUUUUUUUGUAGCUAUUCACGAUUCUGCCCAGCUCAAGGUAAAGAUAGCAACAAAAUACUCCAACCAGAAUAAAAGAAGUCUCCACUUGACUGCAGCUCUUCGCAACACUUCACAAGGGUCAAGCUGUGUUAGUUUCCUUCAGUGUUAAACAGAAUGCAUCUUAAGAGAAUAGUUCAAUUAUUGAUUGAAUAGUAGGUUCAAGUUGACUAUAAUCCCAACUAAUACACUCUAAGACCAGGGAUGGGCCGACAGAAGGGUAAAGUUUUCCACUCAAGUCUCGAGGCAAACACUCAGAUAGAAGUAGUAAUAUGGAUGCCUUCUAUUAUUUGGUCACAUACAAUACUGUUCCAGCCCAGUUGUGCAAAACUGGUGAAAUAAAAGGCAAAAAUAUUGACAACAGUUUGGGUAACUGGAUUCCAAAAUGGGCAUCCAUCUAAGAGAAAUUAAUGAAAAAAAAGCAUAUGGACCUUGAAAUACAUUAAUACACAGUUUAGGUUUAAACACUCAGUUUUUAUUAGAAAAGACUAACUUAUCCUGUUUUGAACACUACAAAAGUGCUUUCUGAACCAUUUACUCUCAAACCUCCUCCACCCAUUCCCCUCCAUCUAUAACGCUUUCUGCACAUCUGUAAAAGGUAUGACUUAGUGUUUGGUCUGUGAAAUAAGGUUAAAAAGGAAGCAUUUCUUUUUACAUUCUAGCUAAUGUUGAUAUUUUUCUCAUGCUUCUAUUAGCACAUAAUUCAGAUACAUUAGUUUUGAAGUUUUGAAUCUUCUCUGCUUCUUGAGGGCUCUCUGUUCUAGAUCAACAUGAUCUGUGGAACACCAGCCAAGUCCUGGGCAGAACCCUCCCCGUUGUCCAAAUAUUACUGAAUCAGUUGAGUUUUCUCUGUUGUCAAUGAAUUAUUCCACAUGUUUCUUUGGCUACAUUUUUUUUGGCUUUCUGUUCACAGUAAAUAUAGCCUUUGUUUUUAAAAACUUCUAUUAUGAAAAUUCCAAAUAUAUGCAAAUUAGAGAGAAUAGCAUAAUGAACCUCUAUGUGCUUAUCACACAUAUAGGUUCAACUAAUUAAAUUAUAUCAAUUUAUGGCCAAUCUGGUUUCAUUUAUAACAUCAUUCGCUCAUUCCUAACUCCCUGGAUUAUUUGAUUGACAUGUUUCUAAAGUUCCUUUUAAUCUGUAGGUUCCCCCUCUCAUUUAAUCUUUUGCAACUUAUUCAUUGAUGAAACUGGGUUAUUUGUCCUUUAUUGUUUCUCUCAUUCUGAAAUAUGCUGUAAUGUCAUUAACCAUAUUCUUCUUUCCUGUAUUUUCUGUAAGCUUUGAGCUAGGCAGAAAUAUUUUAAUCAGAUUCCUUUUUUUUUCUUUUAGCAAGAUUUCUUCAUAAAUAAUAUUGUAUGUGUUCAUGAAAAUAGAAAUAAAAAUAGAAAUAAAGAAGAAAUAACAGAAAAAGGACAGAAAUUGUUAAAAUUUUUUUAUGAAAACAGAUAGUAAAUAACAUUGUAAUAAAUCCCAACAGAACAUA